GCGCGCUUAGCUCAGUUGGCUAGAGCAUCUCAUUGACGUUGAGAGGGUCGGGGGUUCAAGUCCCUCAGCGCGCACCA
rnacentral:tRNA from 1 species